GGAUCACCUUUUGAGUUUGUUCUUGUGGGUUUCGAGGAGUUUAAAAGCCUUCGGAUUUGCUAGGAUUGGGCUCUUUUGGUGUACUUUCUCGUACGGUUAGUCAACAUCGGUUUUGAAUGUCAUAAAAUGACUGGAGGAAUGUGGCUUCGAUCUCGUAUCGAAGUGUUAUAACCUUUGGUAGAUGUGAUGUUUGAGACCGAGGAUUGCAACGGAUACCUUCUGGGCUAUUCGUCUGAUCUCUGAUACGUUGCCUUGAUGUCGAAAGCGUGCUUAUGAUGUUAGGGUAUUACGGUCAAAAGGUUAGAACGGAUUAAAUUCGUUAAGGAUGUUGACGUA
rnacentral:rRNA from 1 species